rnacentral:rRNA from 1 species
UACGGAGGGUGCUAGCGUUGUUCGGAAUUACUGGGCGUAAAGCGCACGUAGGCGGCUUUGUAAGUUAGAGGUGAAAGCCUGGAGCUCAACUCCAGAAUUGUCUUUAAGACUACAUCGCUUGAAUCCAGGAGAGGUGAGUGGAAUUCCGGGUGUAGAGGUGAAAUUCGUAGAUAUUCGGAAGAACACCAGUGGCGAAGGCGGUUCACUGGACUGGUAUUGACGCUGAGGUGCGAAAGCGUGGGGAGCGAACAGG